AGGAAAUAACCCAAUGAACAUUCCAGCAGGAGGAAUAACAGCAGAUCAGCAGCCACCAAACUUGAUUUCAGAAUCAGCUCUUCCAACUUCUGUUGGGGUCACAAACACUAUACCGACAGCAGCACCUCCUUCCAGCACUGGUGUUCGGAAAGGCUGGCAUGAACAUGUCACUGAGGACCUGCGGAGCCAUCUAGUGCAUAAACUCGUCCAAGCCAUCUUCCCAACACCUGACCCUGCAGCCCUGAAGGAUCCCCGCAUGGAGAACCUAGUGGCGUAUGCUAAGAAAGUAGAAGGGGACAUGUACGAGUCUGCCAAUUGCCUGGAUGAAUACUAUCACUUAUUAACAGAGAAAAUCGACAAGAUACAGAAAGAACGAGAAGAAAAACGGAGGUCACGUUUACAGGAACAAUCUUAGUCUACCUGACUAUGGAGCAUCGUCUGGCAGGAAAUCUCCAGCACAAAACUUCGCAAACAACUGUGACACGUUUGAGCAAUUGCAGCACCCUCUCCAGACACUAUACAAUUUUGUGUGUGUUUCAGUUGUGUUUUUACCUUUCUUGAAAUAAUAAAGAAUAAUAUGCCAAAAA